CACGUAGUUAGCCGGGGCUUCUUAGUCAGGUACCGUCUUUCUUCUUCCCUGCUGAUAGAGCUUUACAUACCGAAAUACUUCUUCACUCACGCGGCGUCGCUGCAUCAGGGUUUCCCCCAUUGUGCAAUAUUCCCCACUGCUGCCUCCCGUAGGAGUUUGGGCCGUGUCUCAGUCCCAAUGUGGCCGGUCGCCCUCUCAGGCCGGCUACUGAUCGUCGCCUUGGUGGGCCGUUACCUCACCAACUAGCUAAUCAGACGCGGGUCCAUCUCAUACCACCGGAGUUUUUCACACUCUGUCACUCGACAAUGUGCGCUUAUGCGGUUUUAGCAGUCAUUUCUAACUGUUAUCCCCCUGUAUGAGGCAGGUUACCCACGCGUUACUCACCCGUCCGCCGCUAAGGUUUAUUGCUUCCAUCCGAAAACUUCCGCUUUAAACCUCCGCUCGACUUGCAUGUGUUAAGCACGCCGCCAGCGUUCAUCCUGAGCCAGGAUCAAACUCU
rnacentral:rRNA from 1 species